rnacentral:rRNA from 1 species
UACGGAGGGGGCUAGCGUUGUUCGGAAUUACUGGGCGUAAAGCGCGCGUAGGCGGAUCUGCAAGUCGGGGGUGAAAUCCCGAGGCUCAACCUCGGAACUGCCUUCGAUACUGCGGGUCUCGAGUCCGGGAGAGGUGAGUGGAAUUCCUAGUGUAGAGGUGAAAUUCGUAGAUAUUAGGAAGAACACCAGUGGCGAAGGCGGCUCACUGGCCCGGUACUGACGCUGAGGCGCGAAAGCGUGGGGGAGCAAACAGGG